UCCCUGGUGGUCUAGUGGUUAAGACUUCGCCAUUCAACGCAAGGGGUACAGGUUCGAUCCCUGGCCAGGGAG
rnacentral:tRNA from 1 species